rnacentral:tRNA from 1 species
GCGGGCUUAGUACAUUGGUAGUAUAUGAGCUUCCCAAGCUCAAGAGACGGGUUCGAUUCCCGUAGCCCGCUCCA